AGCAAACAGGAUUAGAUACCCUGGUAGUNCACGCCGUAAACGAUGAGUGCUAGGUGUUGGGUCCUUUCCGGGACUCAGUGCCGCAGCUAACGCAUUAAGCACUCCGCCUGGGGAGUACGACCGCAAGGUUGAAACUCAAAGGAAUUGACGGGGGCCCGCACAAGCGGUGGAGCAUGUGGUUUAAUUCGAAGCAACGCGAAGAACCUUACCAGGUCUUGACAUCCCGGUGCCCGUCCUAGAGAUAGGAUUUUGCUUCGGCACACCGGUGACAGGUGGUGCAUGGUUGUCGUCAGCUCGUGUCGUGAGAUGUUGGGUUAAGUCCCGCAACGAGCGCAACCCUUAUUGUUAGUUGCCAUCAUUUAGUUGGGCACUCUAGCGAGACUGCCGGUAAUAAACCGGAGGAAGGUGGGGAUGACGUCAAAUCAUCAUGCCCCUUAUGACCUGGGCUACACACGUGCUACAAUGGCUGGUACAACGAGUCGCAAGUCGGUGACGGCAAGCUAAUCUCUUAAAGCCAGUCUCAGUUCGGAUUGUAGGCUGCAACUCGCCUACAUGAAGUCGGAAUCGCUAGUAAUCGCGGAUCAGCACGCCGCGGUGAAUACGUUCCCGGGCCUUGUACACACCGCCCGUCACACCACGAGAGUUUGUAACACCCGAAGUCGGUGAGGUAACCUUUUAGGAGCCA
rnacentral:rRNA from 1 species